GAUGAAGAACGUAGCGAAAUGCGAUAAGUAAUGUGAAUUGCAGAAUUCAGUGAAUCAUCGAAUCUUUGAACGCACAUUGCGCCCGCCAGCACUCUGGCGGGCAUGCCUGUUCGAGCGUCAUUUCAACCAUCAAGCCCCCAGGGGCUUGUGCUGGGGCCCUGCGGCUGCCCGCAGGCCCUGAAAACCAGUGGCGGGCUCGCUAGUCACACCGAGCGCAGUAGCACAUCUCGCUCAGGGCGUGCGGCGGGCUCCUGCCGUGAAACCCCCCACUGUAACCCCAAAGGUUGACCUCGGAUCAGGUAGGAAUACCCGCUGAACUUAAGCAUAUCAAUAAGCGGACGA
rnacentral:misc_RNA from 1 species